UACGGGGGGGGCAAGCGUUGUUCGGAAUUACUGGGCGUAAAGGGCGCGUAGGCGGCCUGCUAAGUCACACGUGAAAUCCCUCGGCUCAACCGGGGAACUGCGUGUGAUACUGGCGGGCUUGAAUUCGGGAGAGGGAUGUGGAAUUCCAGGUGUAGCGGUGAAAUGCGUAGAUAUCAAGAGGAACACCUGAGGUGAAGACGGGUGCUGGGCUGACACUGACGCUGAGGCGCGAAAGCCAGGGAGCGAACGGG
rnacentral:rRNA from 1 species